ACGAGAUUCCCACUGUCC
rnacentral:ncRNA from 2 species